rnacentral:rRNA from 1 species
AGCAGCCGCGGUAAUUCCAGCUCCAAUAGCGUAUAUUAAAGUUGUUGCAGUUAAAAAGCUCGUAGUUGAAUUUCGGGAUUGGCGCAUCGGUCGUGCCUUACGGGGUAUGAACUGGUGCAGUCAAUUUCUCACCUUCUGGAGAACCGCGGUGUCCUUAAUUGGGUGCCGCGGGGAACCAGGACCUUUACUUUGAAAAAUUAGAGUGUUUAAAGCAGGCAUUUUUGCUUGAAUACAUUAGCAUGGAAUAAUAAAAUAGGACGGCAUGGUUCUAUUUUGUUGGUUUCUAGGACCACCGUAAUGAUUAAUAGGGAUAGUUGGGGGCAUUAGUAUUCAAUUGUCGGAGGUGAAAUUCUUGGAUUUAUUGAAGACUAACUACUGCGAAAGCAUUUGCCAAGGAUGUUUUCAUUAAUCAAGAACGAAAGUUAGGGGAUCGAAGACGAUCAGAUACCGUCGUAGUCUUAACCAUAAACUAUGCCGACUAGGAAUCAGA